GGGGUAACAUGGGCGCAGCCUGAUCCAUGCAUGCCGCGUGUGUGAAGAAGGACUUCGGAUUGUAAAGCACUUUCGGCGGGGACGAUGAUGACGGUACCCGCAGAAGAAGCCCCGGCUAACUUCGUGCCAGCAGCCGCGGUAAUACGAAGGGGGUUAGCGUUGCUCGGAAUGACUGGGCGUAAAGGGCGCGUAGGCGGAUGACAUAGUCGGGCGUGAAAUUCCUGGGCUCAACCUGGGGACUGCGUUCGAGACGUGUUGUCUUGAGUUCGGAAGAGGGUCGUGGAAUUCCCAGUGUAGAGGUGAAAUUCGUAGAUAUUGGGAAGAACACCGGUGGCGAAGGCGGCGACCUGGUCCGAUACUGACGCUGAGGCGCGAAAGCGUGGGGAGCAAACAGGAUUAGAUACCCUGGUAGUCCACGCUGUAAACGAUGUGCGCUGGAUGUUGGGUGACCUAGUCACUCAGUGUCGUAGCUAACGCGAUAAGCGCACCGCCUGGGGAGUACGGCCGCAAGG
rnacentral:rRNA from 1 species